rnacentral:rRNA from 1 species
GAUGAACGCUAGCGGCAGGCUUAACACAUGCAAGUCGAGGGUAACAGGGAGAAGCUUGCUUUUCCGCUGACGACCGGCGCACGGGUGCGUAACGCGUAUAGAACCUACCUUUUACAGGAGAAUAGCCUUUAGAAAUGAAGAUUAAUGCUCCAUGGUAUUAUUGAUUGGCAUCAAUUAAUAAUUAAACAUUUAUGGGUAAAAGAUGGCUAUGCGUUCUAUUAGCUAGAUGGUAAGGUAACGGCUUACCAUGGCUACGAUAGAUAGGGGCCCUGAGAGGGGGAUCCCCCACACUGGUACUGAGACACGGACCAG